CUUCGGAGUUUGAUCCUGGCUCAGGAUGAACGCUGGCGGCGUGCCUAAUACAUGCAAGUCGAGCGAACUGAUUAGAAGCUUGCUUCUAUGACGUUAGCGGCGGACGGGUGAGUAACACGUGGGCAACCUGCCUGUAAGACUGGGAUAACUUCGGGGAACCGAAGCUAAUACCGGAUAGGAUCUUCUCCUUCAUGGGAGAUGAUUGAAAGAUGGUUUCGGCUAUCACUUACAGAUGGGCCCGCGGUGCAUUAGCUAGUUGGUGAGGUAACGGCUCACCAAGGCAACGAUGCAUAGCCGACCUGAGAGGGUGAUCGGCCACACUGGGACUGAGACACGGCCCAGACUCCUACGGGAGGCAGCAGGUAGGGAAUCUUCCGCAAUGGACGAAAGUCUGACGGAGCAACGCCGCGUGAGUGAUGAAGGCUUUCGGGUCGUAAAACUCUGUUGUUAGGGAAGAACAAGUACAAGAGUAACUGCUUGUACCUUGACGGUACCUAACCAGAAAGCCACGGCUAACUACGUGCCAGCAGCCGCGGUAAUACGUAGGUGGCAAGCGUUAUCCGGAAUUAUUGGGCGUAAAGCGCGCGCAGGCGGUUUCUUAAGUCUGAUGUGAAAGCCCACGGCUCAACCGUGGAGGGUCAUUGGAAACUGGGGAACUUGAGUGCAGAAGAGAAAAGCGGAAUUCCACGUGUAGCGGUGAAAUGCGUAGAGAUGUGGAGGAACACCAGUGGCGAAGGCGGCUUUUUGGUCUGUAACUGACGCUGAGGCGCGAAAGCGUGGGGAGCAAACAGGAUUAGAUACCCUGGUAGUCCACGCCGUAAACGAUGAGUGCUAAGUGUUAGAGGGUUUCCGCCCUUUAGUGCUGCAGCUAACGCAUUAAGCACUCCGCCUGGGGAGUACGGUCGCAAGACUGAAACUCAAAGGAAUUGACGGGGGCCGCUUAAUUCGAAGCAACGCGAAGAACCUUACCAGGUCUUGACAUCCUCUGACAACUCUAGAGAUAGAGCGUUCCCCUUCGGGGGACAGAGUGACAGGUGGUGCAUGGUUGUCGUCAGCUCGUGUCGUGAGAUGUUGGGUUAAGUCCCGCAACGAGCGCAACCCUUGAUCUUAGUUGCCAGCAUUCAGUUGGGCACUCUAAGGUGACUGCCGGUGACAAACCGGAGGAAGGUGGGGAUGACGUCAAAUCAUCAUGCCCCUUAUGACCUGGGCUACACACGUGCUACAAUGGAUGGUACAAAGGGCUGCAAGACCGCGAGGUCAAGCCAAUCCCAUAAAACCAUUCUCAGUUCGGAUUGUAGGCUGCAACUCGCCUACAUGAAGCUGGAAUCGCUAGUAAUCGCGGAUCAGCAUGCCGCGGUGAAUACGUUCCGGGCCUUGUACACACCGCCCGUCACACCACGAGAGUUUGUAACACCCGAAGUCGGUGGAGUAACCGUAAGGAGCUAGCCGCCUAAGGUGGGACAGAUGAUUGGGGUGAAGUCGUAACAAGGUAGCCGUAUCGGAAGGUGCGGCUGGAUCACCUCCUUUCU
rnacentral:rRNA from 2 species